rnacentral:rRNA from 1 species
GCUAAGAGUAAAAUUCAAGGUGAAACCUGCCCAGUGAACUUAAUACACUUUAUAAUAAAAUAUUUAUCCUAGUUUAAACGGACGCAGUAUUUUGACUGUGAUAAUGUAGCAUAAUCAUUUGCCAUUUAAUUAAUGGAUAGUAUGAAAGGUUAAACGAAUAUUUCAUUGUCUUAAAAAAAAUAAAUAUUAAAUUAGAUUAAUAGUUAAGAUACUAUUUAAAAUUGUAAGACGAAAAGACCCUAUAGAGCUUAACUAAAACUUUUAAAAAUUAAGAGUAGAUAGUUUAGUUGGGGCGACUAUCUUUUAUUUAGAACAAAGAUAAACAAAAGAUAAUACAUAAUUUCUUUAUUGUAAAAUCCAUAAAUUUAACAAUUAUUAAUAUAGGUUAUAGUGACCCGUUAUAUUAAAAUAUAACGAUUAGUAAAUAAAAGCUACCUUAGGGAUAACAGAAUAAUUUUAAUUAAGAGAUCGUAUCAAAGUUAAAGUUUAUCACCUCUAUGUUGAAUUAAGAUAUCCUAAUAAUGUAGAAGUUAUUAAAGGUAGGUCUGUUCGACCUUUAAAAU